ensembl:lncRNA
GUCAGGAGUUUCAAAACGAAUGCGCGACAGAACGCUGCCAAUAUUCACGUGACUCAAAGCUUGCGCCUGCAUGGUCAAAUCUCUGAAAAGUUGGAAUUAUGGCAGGAAACUGGCUCCAUAGCAUUGCGCUCUCGAAAUGCAUUUUGGGUCCGUCCGUUCAGACCUGUCCAUGGUUCAGAGUCGCACUCGCGACGCUCAUCCGUCGAAGGACGCAUGGUGUGUGGAACAAGCGUACAUAGGCCUACCUGAUCGCGUUCAUUUGUUCGCCUCCCUCCACCUCCCUCUCUCUCCGGUGCAUAUUUAAGCCACUUCUUCAGUGUCCCUGAAAAAACAAUAUGGGUGGUCCCUGGCAGCUGUUUUUAAUUACCAACAUGGCGACGGUAAGCUGUAACAUGGCCAUGGCCAUUUUUUGCAUAGUGCACCUGCAGGCAAAAAGUCAGCAAUUUGUUUCCUAACCACAGACCCUUAACGCUGGUGCGCAGUGCAUUGGUUUCACUGUCCUCUCAGUCUCAUUUUACUGCACUAUGGGUUACCACAUCGACUCCAUCCCAGUUACUUCUUUGAUUACAGAAUGCAUGCAUGCAGGGUUAAAUUGGUAGGCUACGGGACGACGCUGAAGUUGGCAUCCGAUUCGCAGCAUCCGAUUCGGCAGCUGGUCCACUUUAAAUCGGUCCUUAUUGAAAACCACUACACCUAGACUCUUCAAAUCUGGACUAAAUGAUCACAGUGAGGCUAUACAUUAUGUAAAACAUAGUUUCAGAUUUGUGAGCCUUUACCCUAUUUGUGAAAAUGCAAUAAAGGCACAUUUUAAUGCUUUUUAGGGGUCCAGACCGCAUUAGAACUGAUCCUGAUUAAAAACCACUACACCUAGACUCUUCAAAUCUGGACUAAAUUAUCACAGUGAGGCUAUACAUUAUGUAAAACAUAUUUUCAGAUUUGUGAAACCUUUACCCUAUUUGUGAAAAUGCAAUACAGGCUCAUUUAGGGGUCCAGACCGCAUUGCAUUUUCACAAAUAGGGUAAAGGUUUCAAAAAUCUGAAACUAUGUUUUACAUAAUGUAUAGCCUUACUGUGAUAAUGUAGUCCAGAUUUGAAGAGUAUAGGUGUAGUGGUUUUCAAUCAGGACCGAUUUGAAGAUUCUAAGUGGUUUUCAAGCCGAAUCGGAUGCUGCGAAUCGGAUUCCAACUUCAGCGUCGUGGCUACGGGCAUGCCCGUAGCCCGACAUACCACUCGUAGCCAAUGCUAGCGGAGUAGCGCGUUGUUACAUUCUUAUGUGAAUGUAGGCUUUCGGUGCAAGAUAGCUAGAUAGUAAAAGUAAAAUAACGUCAAACUAAAGUGUUCUAUAGUGCUGACUGAUAGUCCAAGAGUGCAGUGCAGAAUAUUGUCAGUGUUAAAAGCAUUGCUGCAUCUGGACACAAAACUGAGAUCGCAUAGUAGCCUAUGAAUGGACUUUUUCUGAUUUUACAUGAAAUAAGCAUAGCUCAGAAGACUACCCAUAGUGCAUAUUAAAAAAUCGACUUGCUGGUUUAAAAGCAUUUAUUUUAAUCAGUGGUAUCUGUGUCUAAUGCUUGUGUGGUGUGACUGAGUUUUGACAAACAUACCGAACAGUACAUCACUAAGGACAGUGCUUUUAAAGGCUUCCUUGAAGCCUUUCCCUGCCCAGUUGAAGCGACACGCCAGGUUAUUUGUUAGGCCACUCUGCAACAUCCUUCUUACGGCCUCUUCUGCAGUGUGCCCUCCAAUUAGACUGAAUGUUAAGAUCUGACAAGACAUAAUAAACCAACAAACAAGUGAAACAUUGAUAAUUAUAACAUGUAUAAUUACAAUAUCUCCCAAAAGUGAAUAGGCCUACACCCCUCCCAUUUUUGCAAAUAUUUUAUUGUAUCUUUUCAUAGGAUAACCCUUGGCAUGAAACUUUAUUAUAACUUAAACUAGUCAUUAUACGUAUUGUAGAGAACUAUAGAUUUAUUGUCCUCAGAAUAUGACUAAAAACGCAUCCAUUAACAACUAAACAGCUGGCCACAUAACUGAGUACACUUAAUUAUGAACAUGACCAUUGCGCCCAUAGUGACAAUAAAUCUUAUCGUAAUCUACAAACUCUACACGGACUUCUUUAAGUUACAUCAAAGUUUCAUGUCUAUAGAGUUAUCCCAUGAGAAGAUACAUUAAAACAUUUGAAAAAAUGGCUAGGGUUUUGUGAGAUACUGUAUAUGUACCAAUUUAGGUUAGGUGAACUUCUCACUGUUUCACAUAAUGAGUAAUGUGUUAAUUUUGUUUUGAAAGAUAAUUCCUACAAAUACUGAGUGAUGUAGUGGAUGGCUGGAAAGAAGAGAGGCAGCUUGAUGGACGAAGCGGCAGCUUCUGGUGCUACCGGCCUCACCAUCUCUCUCCUAAGCGCCCUCACUUCACUCCCCAGAUUGUCGUGCUGUUUUUCUUGGGGGGGGUGGUGCCUCGUCAUCAGUGUCCACACCUUGAAGCAUAUUUAACUCUAAAGGUCUGCACCUUCAAAAAAGUGUUGCGGCGGGCCCGUAGUGGUCUGGACUCUUCCAGCUGGCUCCUGCAGGGUCUUCAGCCUCUGACUGUAUGUCUGAUGUUAAACACAGUAAGGACUUUUUCAGCUAACCAAGACCCUCACGUCACCGUGCACGUCCCACGCUGCACCUGGAGGAAGGUGGUGCGCGACUGCCUUCUGGAGGCGGAUAUGAUCAUAAGAACUAGGAGGCCAGAAACAAUUCCAUGACUCCCCUGCCUCCUCCAACCAGCUGCUUGGCACUAUGGUAGUGCUCCUAUCUUUGAAUUCGACGACCUUCCACACCUGUGCCAUCUGUCAAUGAGUUCCGGUUCAAUGCAUUUGUAAUGAGGGGGCGCACUUCUGUGCAGUGUGCGCAAGUCGUCGUUGCCAGCAGGCUGCACCCGACAGCCAAGGGAUUUAUAUGUGGCAUAGCAAGUCUCUGAAGCAGUGUCUCACACUCGAGUCCUGACCGAGGGCCUUGAAACUGGCAUGCCUGUUCAAAACAUCUCCAGGACAACAAGGUUAUUUUGUGUUGACGUGUAUUGAAUUCUUAAGGGCAAAGGUAACUCUUAACAGGCAAAUUCUGUAGAAACUCCAUAAAAAGAAAUAUUAACUCACUAAGACCAUUCAUGAAACAUCAGUAAGCUGCAGUUUGCAUAGCCAGUCAGUAAUAUUUUAGUUCUUGCAAUUGCGACUGCUUGUAAAAAAAAAAAUGCAACAAGAAGUGUGCAUUUCGCCGGCACAACGCGACAAGAAAUGUGCGUUUCGCCGGCCGGCACGACGCGAAGCAUGUGUUCAAAACGCUACCCUGAACCUGUGGAUACAAAGGAUUUGACUGUGAUAGGAGUAGCGAGAAGUCAAUGUAGCGUUUUCGCGUCGAAAUUUUGUAGAAGAUAAACAAUUUCCUCGUUUAUGGCGCCCCCUAAUGGCGAAAUUUUCCGAAAUUUUUGUCGAACGACAUUAAGGUUAGCACCAACAUGUGUGUUCGUUCCGAUGUCUAAUUUUGGAUUUCUUUAGAUUUUUGAUUUUCCACGUCUAAUUUAGCUCAUAAACCAAUAUUCAAAACGCUACCGUUUCGUCGUCGAAGGUCCGAUCAAAAAAAGUGUCUAUCAUUUCUAUGCGUGUGCGUCUGAAGAUGCCAUGGCAAAGUUUGGUGUCGAUUGGUCAAGAAAUGUGGGAGGAGUGGGGAAAAAACAGUUUAGCUGUUUUCGCGACUUUGCGAAAAUUAUGGACGCAAAUGGGCUUGGCCUAGGCCAAAAGAUGCAGCAGACUCCAGUGAAUCUGUGGGUAUAACGUUUUGGACUGUGGGAGGUUCGGUGUGGGAGUUAUAGCCCCAAACGCGUAUUCCUUGGUAUAGCGCCAACUAGUGGCCGGCAUGUCUGGAUUUUGUCGUCUGCAUAGUCUUCACGUACCUGGAUCUAGUCAUGUAAUUGGUGUGUGUGCACCAUUUUCGGUUUGGGCUGUAGUACCACUUUCUUGGUAGGAAGUAUAAAAAUCCUUACAAAAACAAUAGGGAUCCAACCUGUUGGCUUGGACCCCUAAUGAUGCCACCAACAAUAACCAAUACAAUGUUGUGCCAGAUAACCUCAAAUAUAAUUAGCCUACUUCCUAUUUGUGCAAACCCAUCAGAUACCUUUGGAAAAAACCAAAAGUGCAAAGAUGCUUUGUCUCAAAUUAGUUCCCUUACCGUUUAAUUUGGAGCAAGUGAAACAAUCACGGGCUUGUGUUAUCUGUAGGGUCUCCGUUGUUGUCAACUGCUUCUCGGAGAGCUGGAUGGAGAGGGUUUGCAGCGUCUGUAUUCCAAUUGGUUGUCAGGGUUUUUGCAUUGAAAAUGCAUCAGUGAACAAAUCGCCUGCUUGUGCCAUCCGCAAGGUCUUCGUUGUCAACUUCUUGUUGGAGAGCUGGAUGUAGAGGUUUUGCGACGUCUGUAUUCAGAUUAGGGCUGCACGAUAUGGGCAAAAUAUGAUAUCCCGAUAUUUUUUGGCUGAAUGGCGAUAUAUCUCGAUAUUUUCUAUAGAGUGGGAUAGAUGGCUUUGUCGCAUUGUCCUGCGUACUACGGUGAGGGUUUCAGUGCGCCCUAACUUUAAUCCCCGGCCCCCUCCCUUCUCUGUUCCAUUUUGGAACACGUUUGGUUUAAUUUCGCUUGUUUCGUAUAUUUUAAUUAAUUAAGGGCGCCUCCAGAGGGCGCAUUGAACACAUUGGAUCGGCCCUCCGCUUUGGGGCCGCAUUAUCAUCUAGAGCGUGUAUUAACUUUUGAUAGUCUAACGUGGUCCAUUAUCCCUUACUUGUUGCAAGACACAGUAGUCUACACAUACAUCUAUGCAUAAGGUUUCUGAGAACAGCAGGACAAGUUGGCACAUCAACAUUCACAAACGGAAGGCUUGUGCUACUCCAUCUAGGCACUUUGAGUUGUAGCCUCAUACCAUAAUUGAAUGCCGCUUCUUUUGUAGCAAGAAGCAGCAAGUGUUAUUUUCACAGAAGAUGAACACAUACCAAAUUUUCCGAUAAGCAUAUUAGCUUGUGCAUACAUCAUACGAUACUGCCUGCAAAUUUCACGGUCAUUAGACUGGUCGUCAGUUAUGUAAUGUUAUAAGUUUUUAGCCUCAUUACAUAUGUUAAGGACUGUGCCAGGAAAGGAGAAAUCAGUAGUUAUCAGUUUCUUAUCUGCCUUACUUCAUGAGCAUCAGCUGUAUGUGGCCUUAGUGCCUAGAUUUAAUAUGACAACCGCCACUGUUUGGACAGGCGGGUAGACGUAAACUGGCAGAUAAAUCUAAGUGUUAUGAUUUCGCACAUUCAUUUCUUAUGUUUGCAUUUGUGUCUUGCAGAAGAUGAAGGAGAAUGCGUGCAGUGGGCUGAAUGGAGAAUUCGUGAAUCAAAGGCAACACCAAGAAAUGCAUUAAUGAAAUUAAGCACUAUCAGGUUGUCAAGA